UAGCAGAUGUUUCAUCGUCCACACUAUUUUGCCUGGCACGCUAUCCCCUCCCUUCCGCACACCAGUUCUAGCAUGUCUCUCCCCCACACCAUCCUCCAACCAUCGCUCGCCCGUGCGCUCCCGCCACCAUCCGAUGCCCAUUACUUCCCGCCGUUUCUGCUGCUCCUCCUCCAUCUCCCGUCGUCCCCUGUCCCGGUGCCUCUCCUUCUCGAGGCUCGAUGGCAUGUUGGGCUGUGACGAUGUGGUCCGCGGCCGUAGCCCAGCGGUGCUCCUGCACCUCCUCCCACGGUCGGAGCAGCGGCAGAGGCGGGAGGGAUGCCGCCAAGGCCAUGGCCAUCGAUGAGGAGGCGCUGGCCACCGUGGCAAGGCUCGUGCUGGGGCAGCGGGGCGUCGGUGGCGUGGGGGUGUUCGAGAGGUCGGCGUCGGUGCGGUACGCCGCGAAGUGGUAGAGCCAGGGCCCACCGCUGCCCAGGAGUUGUAUCACGCUCCCGCGGUCGCUCGCCGACCCCGAGCUCCAUCCGCAGCAGCUCCUCACCAAGGGUUUCCAUUCAAUCUUAUGCACCCCUAGAGUUUCUGCAACCUCCAUUGUUCUUGCUAGUUCUUGAUUUCUGCCCCCCCCCCCCCCCCCGGAAAAGUUAUUGCCCAAUUGGUGGGAUAUGCUCCAAUAUGUUAGUCUAAGAAGUAGACAAUUCCAUUUCGUGGUGUCAUCUGAAUCCCCAUUCUAGUUUGAGCAAUGCUGACAGAUCAUGCAAUUGGCUUGCUAAACUGUUUAUUGAUAGAGAUUUGUGCAGUUAGCCAGUGCAGCAGGAACAAUGCCUGAAAUGGAGUUUGCAUCGAUCUCCAGAGUGCGUAAUUGGUGAAGAAUAGGUAGUUUUGUGGAUAGAGAUUCAUCCCAGUUGGAUAGGUAGUUUUGUGGAUCCUUCAGAUGAGUUGCAGAAUUAUUUGCCUACAUUGUUUGAGUGAAAGAGUGUGAUAGUAUCCGCAAAAUUCUUAGGCUACCUUUCUUUUUUUUUAUCAUAUUGGAAAGACUGAAUGCUCUCUCACUAUCAAUUAUUUUGCAUUUCUA